UACGUAGGGCGCAAGCGUUGUCCGGAAUUAUUGGGCGUAAAGAGCUCGUAGGCGGUCUGUUACGUCCGCUGUGAAAACCCAGGGCUUAACCCUGGGCUUGCAGUGGAUACGGGUAGACUAGAGGCAGGUGGGGGAGAAUGGAAUUCCCGGUGUAGCGGUGAAAUGCGCAGAUAUCGGGAGGAACACCGGUGGCGAAGGCGGUUCUCUGGGCCUGACCUGACGCUGAGGAGCGAAAGCGUGGGGAGCGAACAGG
rnacentral:rRNA from 1 species